AAUUCGUACAUCUUCCAGAUGCAACCACAACCAGGAGAAAACAGACUUCGCCUCCUUCAUGGUCAGCAAAGAAAACAUUUUCCAGAAGCAGCACUCCCCGCCCUCCACAGAUGUUCCCUCCAGUUUUCUUUUGUGUCAAUUGCGUGAUCUGCCCAGGACAUGCUAGUCACAGUUGCUCAUGGAAACGCUGGGAAGCUGGUGCUACACGUUUCUGGAACACGAGGAAACAGAAUGCCUUUGGCUUUCAAACGAUGACACACCUGAAUUACUAAUUAGGACGCACCCAUCAAGUAAGCUGUGGACGGCGACUCUUCAAAGUCAGGCAUGCUCUUCAUGAGACAGAUUCAGACCGGGUUCCUACCGAUAGGAAGGUCAGCAAGAUGCUGAGAUGGGUUCAACCACGUCACCCAUGACCCUUCCUUAACCCAGGAGUGACUUGGGUUGAGAUAGGCAACUUGAGCUUUUCUGCCGACGGUGACACUGCAGGCACACUUCCAUUGUUCUCCUGGGCCAAACUGUGAAGCUUUACUCAUAAAUACAAGGUGGUGUCUCUGUUGGGGCUUACCAGAACCUUUGCACAGCGA